rnacentral:rRNA from 1 species
CCUACGGGGGGCAGCAGUGGGGAAUUGUUCGCAAUGGGCGCAAGCCUGACGACGCAACGCCGCGUGGAGGAUGAAGAUCUUCGGGUCGUAAACUCCUGUCGAGCGGGACGAAAGAUGCGCGGGUUAAUACCCCGCGCAAGUGACGGUACCGCUAAAGGAAGCCCCGGCUAACUCCGUGCCAGCAGCCGCGGUAAUACGGGGGGGGCAAGCGUUGUUCGGAAUUACUGGGCGUAAAGGGCUCGUAGGCGGCCAACUAAGUCACACGUGAAAUCCCCCGGCUCAACCGGGGAACUGCGUGUGAGACUGGAUGGCUUGAGUUUGGGAGAGGAAUGCGGAAUUCCAGGUGUAGCGGUGAAAUGCGUAGAUAUCUGGAGGAACACCGGUGGCGAAGGCGGCAUUCUGGACCAACACUGACGCUGAGGAGCGAAAGCCAGGGGAG